AUUGAACGCUGGCGGCAGGCCUAACACAUGCAAGUCGAACGGUAACAGGAAGCAGCUUGCUGCUUCGCUGACGAGUGGCGGACGGGUGAGUAAUGUCUGGGAAACUGCCUGAUGGAGGGGGAUAACUACUGGAAACGGUAGCUAAUACCGCAUAACGUCGCAAGACCAAAGAGGGGGACCUUAGGGCCUCUUGCCAUCGGAUGUGCCCAGAUGGGAUUAGCUAGUAGGUGGGGUAACGGCUCACCUAGGCGACGAUCCCUAGCUGGUCUGAGAGGAUGACCAGCCACACUGGAACUGAGACACGGUCCAGACUCCUACGGGAGGCGGCAGUGGGGAAUAUUGCACAAUGGGCGCAAGCCUGAUGCAGCCAUGCCGCGUGUAUGAAGAAGGCCUUCGGGUUGUAAAGUACUUUCAGCGGGGAGGAAGGGAGUAAAGUUAAUACCUUUGCUCAUUGACGUUACCCGCAGAAGAAGCGCCGGCUAACUCCGUG
rnacentral:rRNA from 1 species